rnacentral:rRNA from 1 species
GUUGAUCUCAAAUCAGGAGACUCCCG